GAUGAACGCUAGCGGCAGGCUUAACACAUGCAAGUCGAGGGGUAACAGGGUGCUUGCACCGCUGACGACCGGCGCACGGGUGCGUAACGCGUAUACAAUCUACCUUUUACAGGGGCAUAGCCCGGGGAAACCCGGAUUAAUAUCCCAUGGUAUGGAGAAGUGGCAUCGCUUUUUCAUUAAAGUUUCGGCGGUAAAAGAUGAGUAUGCGUCCUAUUAGCUAGAUGGUAAGGUAACGGCUUACCAUGGCUACGAUAGGUAGGGGUCCUGAGAGGGAGAUCCCCCACACUGGUACUGAGACACGGACCAGACUCCUACGGGAGGCAGCAGUGAGGAAUAUUGGACAAUGGGCGAGAGCCUGAUCCAGCCAUGCCGCGUGCAGGAAGACUGCCCUAUGGGUUGUAAACUGCUUUUAUACGGGAAGAAACACCCUCACGUGUGAGGGCUUGACGGUACCGUAUGAAUAAGGAUCGGCUAACUCCGUGCCAGCCGCCGCGGUAAUAC
rnacentral:rRNA from 1 species